UACGGAGGGUGCAAACGUUGCUCGGAAUCAUUGGGCGUAAAGCGCACGUAGGUGGUUUGUUAAGUCGGGUGUGAAAGCCCUGGGCUCAACCCAGGAAGUGCACUCGAAACUGGCAGACUUGAGUACUGAAGAGGGUCGCGGAAUUCCCGGUGUAGAGGUGAAAUUCGUAAGAUAUUCGGAAGAACACCAGUGGCGAAAGGCGACUCACUGGCCCGAUACUGACGCUGAGGCGCGAAAGCCGUGGGGAGCAAACAGG
rnacentral:rRNA from 1 species